rnacentral:rRNA from 1 species
AACGAACGCUGGCGGCAUGCCUAACACAUGCAAGUCGAACGAACCCUUCGGGGUUAGUGGCGCACGGGUGCGUAACGCGUGGGAAUCUGCCCUUUGCUUCGGAAUAACAGUUAGAAAUGACUGCUAAUACCGGAUGAUGUCUUCGGACCAAAGAUUUAUCGGCAAAGGAUGAGCCCGCGUAGGAUUAGGUAGUUGGUGGGGUAAAGGCCUACCAAGCCGACGAUCCUUAGCUGGUCUGAGAGGAUGAUCAGCCACACUGGGACUGAGACACGGCCCAGACUCCUACGGGAGGCAGCAGUGGGGAAUAUUGGACAAUGGGCGAAAGCCUGAUCCAGCAAUGCCGCGUGAGUGAUGAAGGCCUUAGGGUUGUAAAGCUCUUUUACCAGGGAUGAUAAUGACAGUACCUGGAGAAUAAGCUCCGGCUAACUCCGUGCCAGCAGCCGCGGUAAUGUCUGUACU